AUACGGAGGAUCCGAGCGUUAUCCGGAUUUAUUGGGUUUAAAGGGAGCGUAGGUGGAUUGUUAAGUCAGUUGUGAAAGUUUGCGGCUCAACCGUAAAAUUGCAGUUGAAACUGGCAGUCUUGAGUACAGUAGAGGUGGGCGGAAUUCGUGGUGUAGCGGUGAAAUGCUUAGAUAUCACGAAGAACUCCGAUUGCGAAGGCAGCUCACUAGACUGUUACUGACACUGAUGCUCGAAAGUGUGGGUAUCAAACAGGAUUAGAUACCCUGGUAGUCCACACAGUAAACGAUGAAUACUCGCUGUUUGCGAUAUACAGUAAGCGGUCAAGCGAAAGCAUUAAGUAUUCCACCUGGGGAGUACGCCGGCAACGGUGAAACUCAAAUGAAUUGACGGGG
rnacentral:rRNA from 1 species